rnacentral:sRNA from 1 species
UAGCGAGACGAGGCUGUCCAAGUAUUA